rnacentral:lncRNA from 9 species
CUGAGGUUAAAUGAGGUCAUCCAGGUGGAACCCUAAUCUGAUAGAACUCAUGUCCUCUCCCUUUGCACACACAGAGGAAAGGCCAUGUGAUGACACAGUAAGAAGGUGGUCAUCUGUAAUCCAGACGGAGAUGCUCAAAAGAGCUUACUGUUGCCCAUUCGAAAUCUUUCAAUCACCUUCAGUAAGUCUGCGGUUCAAAUAUCAAGAACAUCAAAAUGAUGGUAGACAGGACGUUUGAUUCACAAACUUAGGCUGUAAACAGAAAGAAACUCUGCUCUGACAGAAUGGAAAUAGCAAAGACCUGUUGGUGAGGCUGAGGGACAGUUGGUGACUUUCAUUUCCAGGAACUCAAGAGGCAAGACAGCCACAAAAAUAAAGACUUUCCUUCAAAAUUCCUUACCUAAUCAGCAGGUGUGGUUGUGACACCCAUUAAAGCACCGUUCUGCAACAGAACUGUUGAAUCUCUCAGAAAAACUGACUUACUGGUCACCUACUCAAAUCCACUAUGACUUUUCUAAUCCCUGCAAUACUGCAGUCUUCGUAAAUAUGUCUGCCUCCAAGUAAUGGUUUCAUGCAGGGAGGAUCAUGGCCCCAAAAAGUGGGGAAAAAAGUGUUAGUUUCAAAGUAUUUAUGAAAUAAAUGCAUUGCCAACAGAAGGAAUGACUUGAGUAUCCACUAAUUAAAACAAAACUAUUUUUUUCAGUUUGCUGUGUCUUAGAAAGAGUUGACUUUUGAUUUACAUAGUCUGAAGUAACAAUAGAAGAACAUGUCUUGUAAUGAAAGAAAAAGAUAAUGAUCAUUUGGGUUAAAUGCUUUUUUGCAAAAGGAUCAUUUGUCUUUUUCAUGCUGUGUAUACCUGGUAUGCCCAGAGAUCAAUCAAAUGCCUUGGGGAAAAUGAAUAUGCUAUAGAUAUUAGACCCCUUAUAAUUAAAGAUAGGAGAUAUUGCUGUAGUCUUUUCAAAA